CAUUUUAUGUCUUUGUGUGUGUCUUUCUGCACAUAUAGUUUCUGUGUGUGUGUGUGUGUGUGUGUGUGUGUGUGCUUUCUUCUGUCUGUGUAUGCAGAGAUAUACUAACACAGUGUGUCAGAGGAAGUCAAGGACAAGGUGAGGGAUGAGAACUUGUUCGAAGUUAAAUUAAGCAACAUAGUCUGUAUUUCCUCAAAGACCGAGCCACUGCCUGAUCUGCUUUCCUGCGCUAGUCUAACCCUGCUUCAGAAUCAGCCAUGCGUCUGACCAGUCCUGUAAAUCUUUGGAGGACUGAACUCACAGGUCUCCCUAAGCACUAGUUUUGAAAGAGUGCUUAUUUUAUAAUUGAAUCAAUGAUUUAUCAAAAGGCACUGAAGAGUUUUAAUAACUUGUUAUAAUGUACAACCUUUCCCUUCAAAAAGACGGACAAUUAUGUAGUGGCUUGAAGCCUCAGCUGUUGAAUUUGAGAUGAUGUGGUGAUUUACUGACUUGUAAUCAGAGAAUGUUAAUCAAUGCUU